rnacentral:misc_RNA from 1 species
UAGUAGAGGCCUUUGGCCUUCACGAGAUGCAACCCUUGUCUUUUUGUGCACCUUUGUUUCCUCGGCAGCUUCGCCUGCCAACGAGGACCCCCUACAAACCUUUUGCAAUCUUAGUAUAACAUUCCGAAAACAAAACAAUAUCA